UACGUAGGGUGCGAGCGUUGUCCGGAUUUAUUGGGCGUAAAGAGCUCGUAGGCGGCUUGUCGCGUCGACUGUGAAAUCUCGCGGCUCAACCGCGGGUCUGCAGUCGAUACGGGCAGGCUAGAGUUCGGUAGGGGAGACUGGAAUUCCUGGUGUAGCGGUGAAAUGCGUAGAUAUCGGGAGGAACACCAGUGGCGAAGGCGGCUUCCUGGACCGGUUCUGACACUGAGGAGCGAAAGCGUGGGGGAGCGAUCCGG
rnacentral:rRNA from 1 species